CUCACAGAAGCUCUGGACUUGGGAUUCCGAUGGCUGUUUACACUCAUUCAGCUGCUUAAUCCACUGGUCCAGCUCCUUGGUGAA
rnacentral:pre_miRNA from 1 species